ACACAAACAAACCUGACCAAACAGUGAAACCUAGGUGAGUUCUGGACCUAUAGACCAUUCCAUAUGAUAACAGGGUAGAAACACAGUUGCCCUGUGACCUCAAAGCUUGAAUCUAUCCUACUUCACUUACUUCUGAAUAAAGAAAGCAGAAGCUUCCGCUGCAGUCAGGAGAGAAACAGGCACCUCCCAAGACCGGUCCAGCCAAACUGGGAUCUCAGCAGCUCUCUGGAGGUAUAGUGAACUGCCUUUAAGAGUACUGAUGUAAUCACUGGAAUGGGAAUCUUAAGAUUUUGCCUGAAAAAUGGCAAUGUUUACAGUACUAAUUAUGAUGCAACAUGGAAGCCACACUUGCAUAUCACAUCAUGCAGUAGUGCAUACACAAGCUCUCUCCUCGAUGUUGUUUUUCCUCUGCAUUGCUCUUCUUGGUUGCAUUGUGAGCUCUACCCUGGAAAGCUCUUCCCAAUGACCUGUUCAAAACCAAGACUGUUCUCUGAAUAUAUGACUCUACAGCAUGAUGGGAGAAAAAAAUCAAAGUUAAUCACUUGCACUUCAUGGUGAGAUUAGCUCUACAAAUUCACGCUUUCAAGGUGGCAGCCUGGAAGAGGCACUGCAGUACUUGGGCAUCUCCUCUGACCUCUUUCAUACAGUGAUAACAUUGUCCUGGAAGAUGAGCUAUAGAUGUCUUAAAGUACUUGGGUUUUUUUCAAAAAAAAGCAAUGUGAAUUGGGCAGAAUCAUCCUAUGUGACAAGCUCUGGAAGAAAGUGUUUCCCAUACAAUAGCAACAGCUAUCUGACACUGUGCUCCAGAGUUUAAGGGACAUGAAGAUGUACAGAUAGAACCAGAGUGUGUGACACUGAGUCUAUUCUCUGGAGCCACAGCUCUGCUAUUUAUAGUUACUGCCGCAGUAAGGACAGGGAAGGAAGGGGCAGAGCAGAGAACUGCUCAUCUGAUUUAGACCUUGGCUAUCUCAUCAGACAUCGAGGCUGCAACUAGCUCUCCUAGAUGCAAAUAGUCCUCCUACCUAACAUACUGAGGAGAGCUUGGAAAAUGAGGAUGCUGUGAAGUUCCUUCCUCUCCUGUGUGACUACUCAUUCCAGGCUGAACAGCUACAGGAGAGUGUCACUACACAUCUCCCGCACUGUAGCAUGAUAAAAUCUAAAGCUUAUACUGGAGGAGUAACUCCUUUGCAGUGGCUUCACGGUUAACCCUACAAGCUAGCAUAGGAAUUCCAGAAGUACCUUCCUCAGGCACAUAUGACAAGAGUAAGUGGGAAUGUUGCCAUCAUAAGAGGAUGAAAAGUGCUGGAACUGUCUACCACGAGAAGAGGGCUAUCAGAGGAACUUGGUUCACUUUGCAAUCCUUGAGAAAAUUUCCUUUUUAUCCUGUAUGGGAAUGACCGAGUCCCAGGUCGCCAAACAAGCAAAAAACAUUUGAGUUUACAAGCAACCCCAGGCAUGCUUGCACACAUACCCUGGAGGAACCCUUUUACAAAACCUGAUAUUGUAGAAGGAUCGGUGAGAGAAAUGUACUUAGUUUUCUUCUUCAGGCAAGUCCUGUUUCCAUCAAGAAAUAAAUGCAUAUAAAAGACAA